rnacentral:tRNA from 1 species
GCCACUUUAGCUCAGUUGGUAGAGCGUUUCAUUCGUAAUGAAAAAGUCGCCAGUUCGAGUCUGGCAAGUGGCUCCA